AUUGAACGCUGGCGGCAGGCCUAACACAUGCAAGUCGAGCGGAGCGGCGGACGGGGGAGUAAUGCCUAGGAAUCUGCCUGGUAGUGGGGGAUAAAGUCCGGAAACGGGCGCUAAUACCGCAUACUAUCAGAUGAGCCUAGGUCGGAUUAGCUAGUUGGUGGGGUAAAGGCCUACCAAGGCGAAGAACCGUAACUGGUCUGAGAGGAUGAUCAGUCACCGUGGAACUGAGACACGGUCCAGACUCCUACGGGAGGCAGCAGUGGGGAAUAUUUGACAAUGGGCGAAAGCCGGAUCCAUCCAUGCCGCGUGUGGGAAGAAGGUCUUCGGAUUGUAAAGCACGUUAAGUUGGGAGGCGUUACCAACAGAAUAAGCACCGGCUAACUUCGUGCCAGCAGCCGCGGUAAUUC
rnacentral:rRNA from 1 species